rnacentral:rRNA from 1 species
AUGCCGCCGGAGAAAUCGCCGCAGUCCCCAGUGGCUUGUGCACAAAGAGUUCUAAUUUCGAACAAACUCGGGGAGAAGCUUGUUGGUUUAUUACAUGAAGCAUGCUCGAAGGAACUUGUGAUCCUUUGUCAUGGAUUCAGAGCUACAAAGGACGACAGUAUCUUGGUCGACCUUGCCGCUGCACUAGCAAGUGCAGGAGUUAAUGCUUUUCGGUUUGAUUUUGCUGGAAAUGGGGAAAGUGAGGGUCUAUUCCAAUAUGGGAACUACCGAAAAGAGGCAGAUGACUUGCGCUCUGUAGUAUCUUAUUUCUCAGAACAGAAGUAUGACAUAAUUGCCCUUGUUGGGCAUAGCAAAGGAGGAAAUGCUGUGCUUUUAUAUGCUUCCAUGUACCAUGAUGUUACCGUCAUUGUGAAUAUUUCUGGCCGCUUUGCUUUAGAGGAAGGUAUCGAAGGGCGGCUGGGGAAGAAUUUCCUGCAGAGGAUAAAGAAAGAUGGAUACAUAGACGUCAGAAAUAAAAAAGGCAAGUUUGAGUACCGGGUGACAGAAGAAAGUCUGCGAGAUCGUCUGAGCACUGAUACCCUGCUUUCGAGCCGCUCCAUAAGCAAAGACUGCAGGGUUCUCACGGUUCACGGCUCUGAAGAUGAAACGGUCCCAGCGAGAGACGCCCUGAUGUUUGCCGCGCACAUACCAAACCAUGACUUGCACAUAGUCGUGAGAGCCAACCAUCGGUACACAGGCCACGAGCAAGAGCUGACAUCACUUGCACUGGAUUUCAUCAAGCCCCGUCCUCGAAAAUCAUCGUCCUUGCGUCCGAAACUGUGA